rnacentral:tRNA from 1 species
UCCUUGGUGAUCUAGUGGCUAAGACUCUGUGCUCCCAAUGCAGGAGGCCCAGGUUUGAUCCCUGGUCAGGGAA